AUGAAACCACCGGGUCCCAAUCUAAACUUUCUUGCAGGAUGAUUAGAAAAUACGGCUUGAGGAGACUUUGUCUUGAGGGGGCCCUUGAAGUUUUUCUGUCUGUUUCCUUAUUCUCAUGUUCUCCGCUGAGAAACCUCUUGCCAGCCUAAUGUGAUACUGGGGGCUCCAUGCGACGUGCCCUGUUUGCACACCGAGGGCCAUCUCGUAAACACGCCCCACGACGGGGAUUGCAGCAACUAAUGUUCCACAAGCGUGAGAGGAGCGUCAGUUCUGUGCAAGGCACUGUCCUGGACUACAAAGGUGACAGAAGGCCCGGUGGCCCCGUUCCUCCUUCUCUGUGCAGCUGGGCUUCCAGGAAGCAUUCCGGGAGCUUAACAGCCAGUCACUGGCAACUGGCAUGUUCCGGAGUAGCCACGCUAUAGAGCAGAAUGAGGAGAGAUGGAUGGUGGUGUCACGCUGAGGCAGCGAAGGAGGGUGCCAUCGCCACGGAUCCACCACUGCUCUAAAGAGGAAAUGCGUAUGAGGACCCAGGCCACACUUUAACAGGGGUGGGAUGGACUGUCACAUUCUGCUGGAGGAAGAUAAUUUUUUUUUUUUCAAAACUGAGAACUUUUCAGUGGGCAGUGGUAUUUACUAAUUAAUUGUCACUGGUCAUUAGAAGUUAUGCCAGUUUUUGAAACACCCUGGGAAAUGACUGUGGGUGAUAAUCAUGCUAUUUCCUGUUCCUCUGUUACUUCCAUCUCCAUAGACUUGGACUUUUGGGAGCUGAAAUAUUUUGUUUUUACAAUUAUCUGUUCCCAGUGAUACUGUAAUGUUCUCAUUUUAAGGGCUUAUCAUAUUAGGGCUUCCUCAGGAUGCUAAAACAUCUGUUUCUAACUCAAAAAAAAAAAAAAAAGAAAA